GCAGACACAUUCCAGCCAAUCAGCAGCAGACCCUCCCUCCCAGACGCUUCCAUCUCCUUGACAGCAUCCAUUUUGAAGCUGCAUUCUUAGUGAGCUGUCCAGGAGGUGGGAGGGCCUGGGAGGGAGGGUCUGCUGCUGAUUGGCUGGAAUGUGUCUG